CGCACUUGGAAGUUGCAACUUGCUGGCUUGCCCACUCUAAGCCGAGAGUUGAGCCAUGGGUCUUUUGCAAAGGCAUGGGUUUCUUGGUUCCUAGACAGGAGGGCACCGCGUGAGGCUGGUUUCACAUAACAACGACAACCUUUGAUUCGGGAUAACAGGCUGCUGCACCUCCAGUCCCAAAUG
rnacentral:SRP_RNA from 1 species